UUAGUAACGGCGAGUGAAGCGGCAACAGCUCAAAUUUGAAAUCUGGCCUCUUGGGGUCCGAGUUGUAAUUUGGAGAGGAUGUUUCGGGUACGGUCCGGGCUUAUAUUUCUUGGAACAGAAUGUCAUAGAGGGUGAGAAUCCCGUCUGGAGUCCGGACACGGCCUAUGUGAAACUCCUUCGACGAGUCGAGUUGUUUGGGAAUGCAGCUCUAAAUGGGUGGUAAAUUUCAUCUAAAGCUAAAUAUUGGCCAGAGACCGAUAGCGCACAAGUAGAGUGAUCGAAAGAUGAAAAGCACUUUGAAAAGAGAGUUAAAAAGUACGUGAAAUUGUUGAAAGGGAAGCGCUGGCAACCAGACUUGCGCGUCGGGGUUCCCCCUUGCUUCUGCUUGGGCUACUCCCCGGCGUUCAGGCCAACAUCGGUUUCGGGGGUCGGUUAAAGGCCUUGGGAAUGUACCUACCCUCCGGGGUAGACUUAUAGCCCAGGGUGUCAUGCGACCUCCCGGGACCGAGGAACGCGCUUCGGCUCGGAUGUUGGCGUAAUGGUUGUCAGCGACCCGUCUUGAAACACGGACCAAGGAGUCUAACAUCUAUGCGAGUGUUAGGGUGUCAAACCCUUACGCGGAAUGAAAGUAAACGGAGGUAGGAAGCCAUUAGGCUGCACUAUCGACCGAUCCUGAAAUUUAUGGAUGGAUUUGAGUAAGAGCAUAGCUGUUGGGACCCGAAAGAUGGUGAACUAUGCCUGAAUAGGGUGAAGCCAGAGGAAACUCUGGUGGAGGCUCGCAGCGGUUSUGACGUGCAAAUCGAUCGUCGAA
rnacentral:rRNA from 1 species